rnacentral:rRNA from 1 species
CCUACGGGGCGCAGCAGUGGGGAAUAUUGCACAAUGGGGGAAACCCUGAUGCAGCAACGCCGCGUGAGUGAAGAAGUAUCUCGGUAUGUAAAGCUCUAUCAGCAGGGAAGAAAGUAACGAUACCUGACCAAGAAGCCCCGGCUAACUACGUGCCAGCAGCCGCGGUGAUACGUAGGGGGCGAGCGUUAUCCGGCUUUCCUGGGUGUAAAGGGGGCGCAGACGGCCAUGCAAGCCAGGAGUGAAAGCUAUGGGCCCAACCCCGGGACUGCUCUUGGAACUGCAUGGCUGGAGUACAGGAGGGGCAGGCGGAAUUCCGAGUGUAGCGGUGAAAUGCGUAGAUAUUAGGAGGAACACCGGUGGCGAAGGCGGCCUGCUGGACUGUGACUGACGUUGAGGCCCGAAGGCGUGGGGAGCAAACAGGAUUAGAUACCCGUGUAGUC